rnacentral:rRNA from 1 species
GGGUGCAAUCAUACCAGCACUAAUGCACCGGAUCCCAUCAGAACUCCGCAGUUAAGCGUGCUUGGGCGAGAGUAGUACUAGGAUGGGUGACCUCCUGGGAAGUCCACGUGUUGCACAAC